CGGCGAGCGAAGCGGGAAGAGCUCAAAUUUAUAAUCUGGCACCUUCGGUGUCCGAGUUGUAAUCUCUAGAAAUGUUUUCCGCGUUGGACCGCACACAAGUCUGUUGGAAUACAGCGGCAUAGUGGUGAGACCCCCGUAUAUGGUGCGGACGCCCAGCGCUUUGUGAUACAUUUUCGAAGAGUCGAGUUGUUUGGGAAUGCAGCUCAAAUUGGGUGGUAAAUUCCAUCUAAAGCUAAAUAUUGGCGAGAGACCGAUAGCGAACAAGUACCGUGAGGGAAAGAUGAAAAGCACUUUGGAAAGAGAGUUAACAGUACGUGAAAUUGUUGGAAGGGAAACGCUUGAAGUCAGACUUGCUUGCCGAGCAAUCGGUUUGCAGGCCAGCAUCAGUUUUCCGGGAUGGAUAAUGGUAGAGAGAAGGUAGCAGUUUCGGCUGUGUUAUAGCUCUCUGCUGGAUACAUCUUGGGGGACUGAGGAACGCAGUGUGCCUUUGGCGGGGGUUUCGACCUCUUCACACUUAGGAUGCUGGUGGAAUGGCUUUAAACGACCCGUCUUGAAA
rnacentral:rRNA from 1 species